rnacentral:rRNA from 1 species
GACGAACGCUGGCGGCGUGCUUAACACAUGCAAGUCGAGCGGUAAGGCCCUUUCGGGGGUACACGAGCGGCGAACGGGUGAGUAACACGUGGGUGACCUGCCCUCAGCUCUGGGAUAAGCCUGGGAAACCGGGUCUAAUACUGGAUAUGACUCCAUGACGCAUGUUGUGGGGUGGAAAGCCUUGUGCGGCUGAGGAUGGGCCCGCGGCCUAUCAGCUUGUUGGUGGGGUGANGGCCUACCAAGGCGACGACGGGUAGCCGGCCUGAGAGGGCGACCGGCCACACUGGGACUGAGACACGGCCCAGACUCCUACGGGAGGCAGCAGUGGGGAAUCUUGCGCAAUGGGCGAAAAGCCUGACGCAGCGACGCCGCGUGAGGG